rnacentral:rRNA from 1 species
AAAUUCCAAUCGAACUUGGAGAUAGCUGGUUCUCUCCGAAAUAGCUUUAGGGCUAGCCUCAAGUGAUGAUUAUUGGAGGUAGAGCACUGUUUGGACGAGGGGCCCCUCUCGGGUUACCGAAUUCAGACAAACUCCGAAUGCCAAAUAAUUUAACUUGGGAGUCAGAAUGUGGGUGAUAAGGUCCAUAUUCGAAAGGGAAACAGCCCAGACCACCAGCUAAGGUCCCAAAAUAUAUGUUAAGUGGAAAAGGAUGUGGCGUUGCCCAGACAACUAGGAUGUUGGCUUAGAAGCAGCCAUCAUUUAAAGAGUGCGUAAUAGCUCACUAGUCGAG